GAUACAACUAGAACACAUAGCCCUUCGUCUCCGGGAGGAACAUACGUAUUCUUUUAGGCACAAAGUGAACACGUUAGCGACAAUUACAAUAAAAAAAAACAAUAAAUAUUAAUAAAAAUAAUCAGUGUGAAAUUAGUGAAUUUUUAAUUGUGCAAGUUUUUUAGUUAUUCAUUUUAUAAACAAUUUUAGUGAAGUAUAAUAAACUCAUUAAAUAAAUAACUAGUGAUACAGAUCCAAUAAAGAAGCAUUAUAUAUUUGGUCUUAUAAAAGUAAGAAUUGGAGGAGAGUGAGCUGUUUGUAGUGACGCCAGUAACAAAUCCCAUACUAAUUAUCCAAGGAAAAGAAUUACACGAUGAUAACAAUCGAUACAAUGUAGUACUCGAAAAACAAUGUCUGAUUGGAGUAGAUUCAUUCCUUGAAGGAAUUUUAGUUACAUUUUUAUCGUACUAUGUCUUUGGAUUUGAUUAUCCAAACAAAUUAGAAAAGACAAUGGAAGCUAUUCAAAAAUUGUUUCUUAAAAUUUCUCCACCAGGAAAGGGUAAUAAGCGAGAUGGAAAAAAAUGAAAAGCUAUACUGUCAUUCAUCCGAAAGUAGCUUCAUUUAUAAAAGAAAUAAAUUAUUAUAUAAAUAAUUAAUAAAAAUUAAAACCUUUUAUAAAAAAUAUAAUUCGAAAAUUUAAAAAAAAAAUCAAAUGU